GGAGGAAUCACAGCAGACCAUUACCAGGAGAUCCCACUGUUGCUAUGGCACCUGCUUGUUUACAGUACCUGUUGUUGCUAUGGCACUGACUGGCUGGGAUCGCCUUCCGCGGCUUAUUCCAUAGAGUUCAAUUUCGUACUCAGUGGCCUCUCUGAGACCUGUUAUGUCCCUGCAGUCCAGGACAGACGGAAACCGUCUGGAGUGGCAUCUGAAACUAGAAGGUUGUCAACUUCCGGUUCAGCUUCUAGAGGGAGAGAAGAUGGUGGAAGAAGGAGGAGACAGAGCAUUAAUUAGCCAUCCAUGCAGUCUUCCUUCUGGUGGAGUAUCAGAAUGCAGUGCUGCCUCGGUUUUCAGAGACAGAGUGUCCUGAGAUACCAGGAAAGAAAAUCAUUCCACAUUAAAAAAGUCUAGUAGGGGGAGGAGAAGGAAAACACGGAGCUGACACAUUCAAUACAAGCCAAGCAUUCGCUUGCAUCUGUGAGUUUUGUCUAAAAGUAACUGUAUCAGUCCACAUCUGGACUCGGCCUUGGCCCCUCCCGUGCAUUAUUAAACAAGUUCAAAGCCAUAACUUGUUUACAUUUGCUCUUUGUCUUCCAGUGGCUGAGUGCUGGUCUGCUGGGAGCUCCUUUUCUUUUCCUUUUGAAAAGACAAAUAAACCGACUUUAAUGAUC
ensembl:processed_transcript 8030451A03Rik RIKEN cDNA 8030451A03 gene